rnacentral:rRNA from 1 species
AGUGAACGCUGGCGGUAGGCCUAACACAUGCAAGUCGAACGGCAGCACAGUAAGAGCUUGCUCUUACGGGUGGCGAGUGGCGGACGGGUGAGGCAUACAUCGGAAUCUACUUUUUCGUGGGGGAUAACGUAGGGAAACUUACGCUAAUACCGCAUACGACCUACGGGUGAAAGCAGGGGAUCUUCGGACCUUGCGCGAUUGAAUGAGCCGAUGUCGGAUUAGCUAGUUGGCGGGGUAAAGGCCCACCAAGGCGACGAUCCGUAGCUGGUCUGAGAGGAUGAUCGGCCACACUGGAACUGAGACACCGUCCAGACUCCUACGGGAGGCAGCAGUGGGGAAUAUUGGACAAUGGGCGCAAGCCUGAUCCAGCCAUACCGCGUGGGUGAAGAAGGCCUUCGGGUUGUAAAGCCCUUUUGUUGGGAAAGAAAAGCAGCAGGUUAAUACCCCGCUGUUCUGACGGUACCCAAAGAAUAAGCACCGGCUAACUUCGUG